rnacentral:precursor_RNA from 8 species
UCUGGAGCAAGAAGAUCUCAUGAUGUGACUCUCUAGAGGAAAGCGCUUACUGUUGGCUAAAAAAAUAGGAAGCGCUUCUCUUUAGAGUGUUACGCUUUGAGAAAAGCAACGCGGAUCUU